GUCACACACUCACACAGACAGUCACACACUCACACAGUCUCACACAGACACACACUCACACAGUUUCACACAGUCACACACUCACACAGACAGUCACAUACUCACACAGUCUCACACAGACAUUCACACACUCACACAGACAGUCACACAGACAGUCACACACUCACACAGACAGUCUCACACAGACACAGGCAGUCUCACACAGACAGUCACACACUCACACAGACAGUCACACAGUCUC